GACGAACGCUGGCGGCGUGCUUAACACAUGCAAGUCGAACGGUGAAGGCGGGAGCUUGCUCCUGCUGGAUCAGUGGCGAACGGGUGAGUAACACGUGAGUAACCUGCCCUUGACUCUGGGAUAAGCGUUGGAAACGACGUCUAAUACCGGAUACGAGCUUCAGCCGCAUGGCUAGGAGUUGGAAAGAUUUUUCGGUCAAGGAUGGACUCGCGGCCUAUCAGCUUGUUGGUGAGGUAAUGGCUCACCAAGGCGACGACGGGUAGCCGGCCUGAGAGGGUGACCGGCCACACUGGGACUGAGACACGGCCCAGACUCCUACGGGAGGCAGCAGUGGGGAAUAUUGCACAAUGGGCGCAAGCCUGAUGCAGCAACGCCGCGUGAGGGACGACGGCCUUCGGGUUGUAAACCUCUUUUAGCAGGGAAGAAGCGCAAGUGACGGUACCUGCAGAAAAAGCACCGGCUAACUACGUGCCAGCCGCCGCGGUAAAAC
rnacentral:rRNA from 1 species